rnacentral:lncRNA from 1 species
GCUCCCCAGCCCUCUCUAGUGUCCGUUCCCCUGCUCCGUCACGUUACUGGUGUAUGACAGGCGGGUGCCUGCUUCCCCCCAGUUCACCAGGGACAUUGCUUCCUCUGCUUGCUAGUACAGAGAAGGGGGAGCUGGACCUGAGUUCUGAGUAAGUGCCCCUGGCGGAGGCCUCCCCGGCUCAGGUCCAAGGUGGGUGGGUAAGAAACCAGGAGAGUGGGAGGUGGUCCCACCAGCAGGACCAGGUGGGGGCUGGCGGUGACAGAGCCAGCAACCAGUUCAGUUCUGCAAGAGGCACACAAGAGGGGUUUGUUUUUGUUUUGACAGUAGAGAGUAACCACAGGGCACCAGCCGUAAUAAGGUGAAGCUAAGGGAGUUCAUAUCAGCAUCUAGGAAAUACCGUUUUGUCAUUUGGUGGAAGCCAUUCUGCCUUCCCAGUCAGUCCUCAGUUC